AGUUGAGCUUUAUUCGCUAAGCCACGCCCGUAAACCGCCACAGGCCAAUCGUGGCUUAGCAACCGUAACUAGGCAAGGGAGGUCUGGCAAGCUUUCGAGCGUGGGAAACACGCCGAAGCGUUGUGCGUAGUUACGUGAUACCCGGUAUCCUCAAAGUUUGGACGGGGAGGUGUCAUGGUUUUCCCUUCCCGACACCUAGCAAAAACCCAAGGGGAGAAAUACCGGGCGUGGAUGAAGCAAUGUGGGAGGCCCCAUUCACAACUAGCUAGCUAAAUAUC